ACUUUCAGCAACGGAUCUCUUGGCUCUCGCAUCGAUGAAGAACGCAGCGAAAUGCGAUAAGUAAUGUGAAUUGCAGAAUUCAGUGAAUCAUCGAAUCUUUGAACGCACCUUGCGCCCUUUGGCUAUUCCGAAGGGCAUGCCUGUUUGAGUAUCAU
rnacentral:rRNA from 1 species